GUUUUUUUAGUAUAACUAGUACAGGUGACUUCCAAUCACCUAGUCUCAGUUUAAAUCUGGGAUAAAAUA
rnacentral:tRNA from 1 species